rnacentral:rRNA from 1 species
CCAGACUCCUACGGGAGGCAGCAGUGGGGGAUAUUGCACAAUGGGGGAAACCCUGAUGCAGCGACGCCGCGUGGGCGAAGAAGUAUUUCGGUAUGUAAAGCCCUAUCAGCAGGGAAGAAGAAAUGACGGUACCUGACUAAGAAGCCCCGGCUAACUACGUGCCAGCAGCCGCGGUAAUACGUAGGGGGCAAGCGUUAUCCGGAUUUACUGGGUGUAAAGGGAGCGUAGACGGCGAUGCAAGUCUGAAGUGAAAGGCGGGAGCCCAACCCCCGGACUGCUUUGGAAACUGUAUGGCUGGAGUGCAGGAGAGGUAAGUGGAAUUCCUAGUGUAGCGGUGAAAUGCGUAGAUAUUAGGAGGAACACCAGUGGCGAAGGCGGCUUACUGGACUGUAACUGACGUUGAGGCUCGAAAGCGUGGGGAGCAAACAGGAUUAGAUACCCUAGUA